AUAAAUGCUUAUUCUUACUUGUACCCUGCAGAAUUGCCAUCUAGAAAGUUUGUCUUCAAAUGGCUCUUGGAAUUACUGGUCAAUGCACUACCUCUGCUCAUAGGCAAUGAAGAUAAACUGAUAUGGGAAGCAGAUCCUUCAGAUUGGAGAUUUGAUAUGGACAUGUUUGGUAAUUUGGAGAGCAGAAGCUAGC